UGCCAUAGCUCAGUUGGUAGAGCAAAGGACUGAAAAUCCUUGUGUCACUGGUUCGAUUCCCGUUGGCACC
rnacentral:tRNA from 14 species